CAACCAAAUGUAUUUUUUUCAGGAGGAAAGAAAAGUGUGCAAUUACCAGGAGAGACCAAGAAAAACUGGCUGUCAGAACCACCCUGCCCCGCUUAGUGGCUCCAACUGCUAAGUGACAGGGCCUCUGAGAGCCCAGAUCGGGGGCGUGGGGACAGUGCAGCCAGACUGAGCAAACGAAAUUAGUUCACCCAGUUACAUGUGAGUUUCAUAUAAAUGUUCUUUGAAGAACAGACAACCGCCGAGGGAAGGCCAGGUUACCACGUCCUGCUCUGCGUCUCUGAUGCUCACCCCAGCGGCUCAGGAAUAUAUACAGGAUGGACUAUGGAUGACAUCACAGCGCCUCUCAUUGCAGAGACAUCCUGAGAUCAUAUGUCAAGCCUACGCUGACCCCCUACCCCACCCUGUGCCCCAUUGUUGAAAGCCUUAAAAGAGUCCUAACCCUUAAGUAUGUCCUCUCUGAGGUUGCCCGCACCCCCCUUUCGAGUGUGUACUUCGGCUUAAAUAAAGCCCUCCUCU